rnacentral:rRNA from 1 species
UUAAGAAUCUUGCACAAUGGGCGCAAGCCUGAUGCAGCGACGCCGCGUGAAUGAUGAAGGCUUUCGGGUUGUAAAGUUCAGUAAGCAGGGAAGAAUAAGCAAGAGGUAAUAUUUCUUGUGAUGACGGUACCUGCCUAAAGCCCCGGCUAACUACGUGCCAGCAGCCGCGGUAAUACGUAUGGGGCGAGCGUUGUUCGGGAUUAUUGGGCGUAAAGGGCGUCUAGGCGGGGAUUUAAGUUAGGUGUGAAAGCUACGGGCUCAACCCGUAAACUGCAUCUAAAACUGGAUCUCUUGAGUGCGGGAGAGGAGAGCGGAAUUCCAGGUGUAGCGGGGAAAUGCGUAGAUAUCUGGAAGAACACCAGUGGCGAAGGCGGCUCUCUGGCCUAGAACUGACGCUGAAGCGCGAAAGCGUGGGGAGCGAACA